CAGCAGAACAAUCAAAACCUCAUCUUGAAAAAAUCUCUUCCUGAGAGAGAGAGAGAGAGAGAGGGGGGCGCAAAAGAGAGAGCGGGCUUUGAGAGAACUAUUGACUUUUCUAAACACAACAUUUUCAGACUAUAUUCACAUAAGUACUAUAGAUCUCCAGCACUUAAAUUCAGACAGAAUAGAAUAACAAAAGUACACUUGACUUACCUUGAGAGACAGAGAAGACAUGAGCAGAGUUAACAUGAGUGGUGUGCUCAUCUUCUUCAUGGUCGCCAUCACUGCUGUGCAGGGACAAAAAUCAGUGUGUGAAAACUGCUUGAGCUGGAUGUGACUCUGGUCACCAGAGUUGGGGACCUGCUGGUGAAAGGAGAGUCAUCAUGAAAGUCAUCUUCAUUGUGUAUAGCUGGGCUCAGAAGAAGUCUGGACCUGCUGCACCCCAAAAACAGACGUACCGCUCAGCAGGCCGUGGUCCACCAGUGGUGCCAAGUCCUGACUAUGAGCCCCUUAGCGUGGCAACCUGCAGCAGAGAUAUCUACGCUACCCACAGGACUGGGUAGACUAUCCUUUCACCAGACCACACCUGUUCUCUAGGACCCCUCUGAUGCCCUGGACCAGCAGGCCUCAGCUCACCCUGCCAUCAAAGAGGAGGGGAGAAGGCUCUGUAGUUCUUAGCAUAGACUUAAAGAGCUUCUUAUUUGAGCUUGAUGUGUAAAAAGUGUGAUAUCAUGAUUUAGUUAAAACUAUAGUUCAGAAUUACUGUAACUAGCGAUAAUAGUGAUCAACAUAGUGUUGCUCGACUUUUAGAUGUUUGCUGUACUGAAAAACAACUUGUACAUAUCUGUGUAGAUCAACUGUUGUAAAAUGGUAUCAAUGCAUGCAGAUGCCAAGUUCUUCCUCCUCACAAUGUUAAUGCUGCCUGUAUAUACACUGAGUGUACAAAACACCAUCCUAAUAUUGAGUUGAACCCCCUUUUGCACUUAGAACAGCAUCAAUUCAUUGGGUUAUGGGCUACAAGGUGUCGAAAUCGUUCCACAGGGAUGCUGGCCGAUGUAGACUCCAAGGCUUGCCACAGUAGUGUCAAGUUGGCUGGAUGUUCUGUGGGUGUUGGACCAUUCUUGAUACACACAGGACACUGUUGUCUUGCCCAUUCACCCUCUGAAUGGCACACACACAAUCUAUGUCUCAAUCCA